UGAUCAGAAUUAGCAUACUGUACUCAUCUAUUAAUAACUUAUCUCUUUCCAGCAAUACAAUGAUCUAAGAUGCUCUCAAGGGAUUCAUAAUGAAAAAUGCUAUCCACAUCAAGAGAAAGAACUGAUGAAGCUUGAAUGCAGGUCAAAGACACAGGACUCCAUUUCCCAAAACCACACCCUUGUGCAGGGUACCUUCUCAGCCUGGAGUGCACUGCUGCUUUUCUAACCUCCUCCCUCCAUGAGAAUGUCUUGUUUCUAUUGAAAUUCUGCUUCCCUACCUUCUUCUAAAUGAAGUUGCUGCUACUACUUUCCUUUGAAAAUGAUGCCCUGCUUCCUGCUCCAAAUUUCUGUGACUUUAUUGUGUUUACAUUUGUAUUUGCAUUCAGUAUUCUUGUAUGGAAUGUAAAUUACGGAUGGCACUAGAUUUUUGUCUUUCAGCCUCAGUGCCCACAAAAGUACUUGGCGCACACAAGGUACUUGAUAAAUACAUGUUGAUUAAGAACAAUCUGUGCUUCAAAAAUAUCAUGAGGAAACAAGAGUGGGCACCCAUUGGAAAGUAUUUCAAACAGGAAGAUGGAUCAUACCCCAUUAAGUAAAAGGGAUUCAUUGUAGGGCUCAUUACAUUAUUGUAAAGAUUUUUCUGUUUUCAUUUCUUAACCUCAAAUUUUCUGUCACAAUGUUUCAUUGUAAGAGAAAUGGUUUUAAACAUUCAUUUAAACAUAUGAGAUCCAUAC